rnacentral:rRNA from 1 species
UACGUAGGAGACGAGCGUUGUCCGGAGUUACUGGGCGUAAAGGGUGCGCAGGUGGCGCGGCGCGUGGGGGGUGAAAUCGCCCGGCUUAACUGGGCGGGGGGCCUUCCAGACGGCGGCGCUUGAGGCGCGGAGGGGGACGUGGAAUUCCGGGUGGAGCGGUGAAAUGCGUAGAGAUCCGGAGGAACACCGACGGCGCAGGCAGCGUCCUGGCCGCGACCUGACACUGAGGCGACGAAAGCUCGGGGGAGCGAAACAGG